rnacentral:rRNA from 1 species
GACCACUAUACCACCCUGAACAUACUCAGUCUCAUCUGCUUAUGGAGGCUAAGCAGGGUUGGGCUUAAUUAGUACUUGGGUCGGAGGACAUGCUGGUGGACU